rnacentral:lncRNA from 1 species
CUCCUGACCCCCCUGAGUGACCGCUGACCCCCCUGAGUGGCCACUGACCCCUGACCACCCCCUGACCCCCCUGGCCCCCCCAAGUGACCCCCCAGUGACCCCUGCCCCCCGUGCCCGCCCGUGUCCGCACUGAUCUCGAGCUGGCGCUGGAUCCGGUCCUUGCAGCGGUCCCGGUACUUGGACUGGGUGGCGUUGUACUCGGUCAUCACCUCCACGAACUUCCGGGACAGCGUCGAGUGCUGCGCACGGCCGGGACAGGUGAGACAGGUGGGACAUGGACAGGUGGGACAGGUGGGAUGGGACAGGUGGGACAGGUGGGACAGGUGGGACAGGUGGGACAGGUGGGACAUGGACAGGUGAGGUCACACAGGUGAGAUGGGGCAGGUGGGAUCAUACAACGACAAUGCUGAUGAAGCUGAUGGAGCUGAUGAAGAUGACGAUGAAGCCGAUGAAGUCAAUGACGACGAGGUCGAUGACGAUGGAGUCAACGGUGACGAUGGCAAAGUCAACGAUGGCGAUGCCGAUGAUGAUGAGGUCAAUGACGAUGAUGAAGUC